rnacentral:rRNA from 1 species
AUUGAACGCUGGCGGCAGGCCUAACACAUGCAAGUAGAACGGUAACAGGAAGCAGCUUGCUGCUUCGCUGACGAGUGGCGGACGGGUGAGUAAUGUCUGGGAAACUGCCUGAUGGAGGGGGAUAACUACUGGAAACGGUAGCUAAUACCGCAUAACGUCGCAAGACCAAAGAGGGGGACCUUAGGGCCUCUUGCCAUCGGAUGUGCCCAGAUGGGAUUAGCUAGUAGGUGGGGUAACGGCUCACCUAGGCGACGAUCCCUAGCUGGUCUGAGAGGAUGACCAGCCACACUGGAACUGAGACACGGUCCAGACUCCUACGGGAGGCAGCAGUGGGGAAUAUUGCACAAUGGGCGCAAGCCUGAUGCAGCCAUGCCGCGUGUAUGAAGAAGGCCUUCGGGUUGUAAAGUACUUUCAGCGGGGAGGAAGGGAGUAAAGUUUAUACCUUUGCUCAUUGACGUUACCCGCAGAAGAAGCACCGGCUAACUCCGUG